rnacentral:sRNA from 1 species
UCGAAAAGUCCGAGACCACAUGAGCUUGCUCAGAUGUGAUUGAGAGACUUUGAGAUUUGCCCCGAUAUGAGUACAAAAGUGGGAUGAUAAUCCCACGAUGUACGAAUAGCGGGCAGGAUUGUGAGAGUGCGUAGCACGGAACAAUCCGUAGGUAUC